rnacentral:lncRNA from 1 species
CAGUCAGGGACAAUAGAGUUGAAUAGAGGGCGCACUUGCUAAAAAGCCUGUUUUAGCAUGGCAAAGCCAUUGAAUACACCAUUUCAAUUGGUAUACCGACUGUUAUUAAACUUAUGGAAGUUGAAGAAGAAUGCAUUAACAACUUUAAAAUGUAAAUAGCCCUCAAUGGCGCUGCUCAUUCUGUCACAGAAGACAUCUUGACAAAGAUGCCAAGAUAUACCCUCUAUCCAACUCUAUGUCAGUAACUAAGACAUUUAUGCAGAGAGGGCUUCAUUCCACAGUCACACAGACAGUGUUCAAGAGCAUCAAAACUGUGAUGUAUGAUGGGUAAAUUGUGACUGACUGGUCUAUUAAUAACAUUGAGUAGUUAUUUAUCAUGCAAGAUGAUUUGUAGAUCUUGACUCGCCUAUAAAGUUGGCUGCAAUGUCGAACACUCCGACAUUUACAUAACAUUAUAGCAUUUGUAACAAAAAUCCCAUUCAAGUCAUGGGACCGAUAAUAAUAUUUCACAUAUUAAGUGACUUUGUUGAGCUUCACAAUGCAUUUUUUAUUUUUGAAUGAUUUCAACAUUUUUUGCGAGAAAUGCCUCUCUACUUGAAUGGGAUUUGUGCCACGGAUGCUAAAACGUUAGCAAGUUGAAACAGUGCCAGGGGAAACUUAACCAAAGCAUGGACUGCUGUCACACCAUGUUCAUAGACUGGUAAAAGGGUAAGGAAACCAAUGUGUCAUUUUGUAAUUUGGGUGAACCUUCAAGAUAUUAUAACAAUAUAUUAGCAAGAGAAUAGAGGUGUAACGACUAGCUUUGCUUUGGAGCCAUAGCUCUUCAGUCCAUGUUCUGUGGUGGUUCUCUUCAGUUCAUGUUCUGUGAUGGUUCUCUUUAGCCCAUGUUCUGUGGUGGUUCACUUCCAUCCAUGUUCUGUGGUGGUUCUCUUUAGUCCAGGUUCUGUGGUGGUUCUCUUUAGUCCAGGUUCUGUGGUGAUUCUCUUCAGUCCAUGUUCUGUGGUGGUUCUCUUCAGUCCAUGUUCUGUGAUGGUUCUCUUUAGUCCAGGUUCUGUGGUGGUUCUCUUCAGUCCAGGUUCUGUGAUGGUUCUCAUCAGUCCAAGUUCUGUGGUGGUUCUCUUCAGUCCAGGUUCUGUGGUGGUUGUCUUCAGUCCAGGUUCUGUGGUGGUUCUCUUUAGUCCAGGUUCUGUGGUGGUUCUAUCAGUCCAGGUUCUGUGGUGGUUCUAUCAGUCCAGGUUCUGUGGUGGUUCUAUCAGUCCAGGUUCUGUGGUGGUUGUCUUCAGUCCAGGUUCUGUGGUGG